rnacentral:rRNA from 1 species
UACGUAGGGUGCAAGCGUUAAUCGGAAUUACUGGGCGUAAAGCGUGCGCAGGCGGUUGUGCAAGUCAGAUGUGAAAUCCCCGGCUUAACCUGGGAAUUGCAUUUGAGACUGCACGGCUAGAGUGUGUCAGAGGGGGGUAGAAUUCCACGUGUAGCAGUGAAAUGCGUAGAUAUGUGGAGGAAUACCGAUGGCGGAAGCAGCCCCUGGGAUAACACUGAGCGCCUCAUAGCCACGAAGCGUGG